GUUUUAUCUCUGUUUAUGUACAGUGACAUCAUCUAUCUGCCUGCAUAACAGAACUUUCCCUGUCAUGUUUUGUGCUUUGACCUCUCGAUGCUUUCACCUCCUCUGCCAAAUUGUUUCUGCAUCAAGAGAGAGGAGCAAAACCACUGUGGGGGGAAAACAGCAGUUAAGGCUCUUCGGUGAACAAGACUGCAGGCUUAGUCCCAAACGUGGGCAAUGGAGAUGGACUAAGAGAAGUGGAAGAAAGUGAUGUGGAGAGUCUGCAGUGGAGAAAGAGGUUCCUCUGGGGAGCAAUUUCAGACUGCUUACAUCCAGAUCUGCCAUGGAGCAGGGAAUUAGGAAAUCAGCCAGUCAAGGACGGCUUGGUUCUGACCUAACCCCUGAGAAUCAACCAGGUGGAGCCUGUGAUGGAUGUAUUCCUGCCCUUCUGCACCAGCUGAGCUCAUUUUGCUGUGCUGAAUUCAUGACAAGACAAGAAAGAUGACGUGAAACUAGUGAGGUCAAUAUGCCUUCUGCUGCAACUUCUGUUUGGGGUGCUGCAUGAAGAGGCUGAGCCUCCUGGACAGCACAGCUCCUGGGCUCCCACCCUCUCUGCACCUUCACAUCUGGUGUCACUCAGUGUGGAAAGGACUGGGCACUGCAUCACCACUUGCCUCAAGAGGGCUCCCAGCUUCCUUCCAGCAUCCUUGGAUGAGACAGAGACAGCAACCUGGCACAGAGAGAGGAUGAUCACAGCUGUAUGGCUGCUCAAGAAGCAUUGUUUUUCAAUGUGAAAGGUCAAGUGCUGAACUGCUAAACUCUUCUCUAUUCCUAGGCACCUGUGCCUAUGAGAGAUGCAGGUACCUUUGCAGAUCUUGGCCCACAUCAUUGGAGCAAAUGAAUUGAAAGUGCGGGGGAAGGACCCAGUAAGAGAGGACCACUGAAAGCACAUUGGAUGCAUUGGGUAUGGCCUAUUCCCACUGUGAGUGACACUGCUUCUUGCUUAUUCUUUGGGUCUACACAAAUGCUAGCCACAAGUGAGCAUCUUCUUCCAGGCGGUGCUCUGAUAGUACUAAUUUAACGUCAUGUCCUGACUGCAGUUGAGAAAGAGAAAAGGAAGAGUAAAAGCAAGAGAAACUUCUGAGUCAAGAAAGAAAUGUUUGGACAAAGAGAGAAAGAAAACAAAACAAGGUGUUUCAGCAUCUUCUUUUUAAAAAGGAAAAAUGGAACAGAACCAUGCACACAUUUUUCUGAAGUUAAUCUCAGCAGAACUAAAUAUACAGUUUUCUCAACUGUUGAAACAUAUUCCACUGCAGUUAUUGGACUCUGAUUGCUUCAUUGGUUUCCAUUUGCCACAAGCAGGAAACCUUUGAAGGAUGGAUGAACUGAAUGUGAGAGCAGGAGGAAGGCAAUAGCCAUCUUUGGACAAAAAUUACAGAGGACAGCUGUCCCUUCUGCCACUGUGAAGCGGCUCUGGGGUGUAAAUGGAUCUGCUGACUGUGGAUGGAGGGUUGCUGUUUCAGGAGCAACUGCAAAUUCAGACACAUGAGAAUUGAUAUGGAUGCAAGGUGGCUGUGAGGCCUAUUGAUUCGAAAACCACCUUCCCCACAAAGCAGAGACGGAAAAGAAAAGCAGCAGAGAUUCAUCCAUCUGCUGCUAAGGACACAGAUGAGCCCCCAGCUAGAAAACUACCUAUGGUGAUUCUUGCUUCAGUCCCACCUGAAUACACCUUGGUCAGCACUGAAGUCAUAAAACUUCCAAGCAGUCUGGAACUGCUUCCAGGAACACAGGCAUACUCUGUGGCACAGUCAGAGGUCUCAAACUCAACAGCCCAUUCCUCACAAGAAGCAGAUAAGACGCAGCAGCUGAGCUGCACAGAGGCGGGGAAAGCACUCGUCUCUGAAGAUGAUGACCUUCAGAAGUUAUUGAUGGAAAUCACAGGAGAACUGGAAGGAGAAAAUGAUGUGGACGCUGAAAAGGGUGUGGAUGAGCUCCUUCUGGAACUGUCUGAGAUCACUGACAGCGUGAUACCACAGUCUGAUUGUAAUUUUUAAGACAAACAACAGCAACAACCAAUUAAAACCAACCCUGUUCCUUUUCAACCCUGUUCCUUUCCUUAUUCUGAGGGGACACUUUUUCUGAAACUUUGCAAUGAGUCUUAAAGCAGAGUCAAAC
ensembl:lncRNA